ensembl:lncRNA
UUUCUUUUAAUAUGAAUUUAUUCUUUUUGGAAUACUUACUGAAAUGUUAAUAAACCCUAGAGUCAGUAGUCUUACACCAAUCUGACCUUCUCUAUUAAGGUUAGGAAGGAGUGCCGUUGGCAUAGGUUGAAUUGGAGGGGAUUUCCUUUUGUUUUGCAAUGUGCACGCAGACAAGCAGGCACCAAGCUACAAGUGAGUAACUUUCCCACUAAUCCUCCAAGGCGUGUGACAAUAUGACCCUGAGCUUUUACAACUAAGAACAGUAUGGUCUUGCAGCUCCUGAUAUGCUCUGCUUUUGGAAGUUUCCAUCUCUUAACACGUAGACUUGGAACCUGCAACCCACAGAAGUCCCAAGAGUGCGGAUUUAUCCAUGGAAUUAUACCAAGAAUAAAUUAGACCAUGGACAUCAGAGGCACCACUCACAGGCAAAGAAGAAAAAGAAGGGAAAAAAAAAAGAAAGGAAAAAAGAAGGAUUGAGAUGGGACAAAAGACGGCGUAGCAGCAAGGAGCUUCUCCUGCAUCCACUUACUGAAGAAUGCGGAGUUCAAUCUUCAAAAUGGGAAAUCAACUUGUAUUUCUUACAGACUAGCAUUUUCUAUUGCAGAAAAACAAGUAAUAAAUGUUCUCCCAUGGUCUCCGAUUGCUGACCAUGUUUUAGAGCAAUUGAGAAUUUGUUAGGA